CCUACGGGAGGCAGCAGUGAGGAAUAUUGGUCAAUGGGCGCGAGCCUGAACCAGCCAAGUCGCGUGAAGGAUGACUGCUCUACGGGUUGUAAACUUCUUUUAUAAAGGAAUAAAGUGAGGCACGUGUGCCUUUAUGCAUGUACUUUUAGAUUAAGGAUCGGCUAACUCCGUGCCAGCAGCCGCGGUAAUACGGAGGAUCCGAGCGUUAUCCGGAUUUAUUGGGUUUAAAGGGAGCGUAGAUGGGUUGUUAAGUCAGAUGUGAAAGUUUGCGGCUCAACCGUAAAAUUGCAAUUGAUACUGGCAGUCUUGAGUACAGGAGAGGUAGGCGGAAUUCGUGGUGUAGCGGUGAAAUGCGUAGAUAUCACGAAGAACACCGAUUGCGAAGGCAGCUUACUAAACUGCCACUGACGUUGAUGCUCGAAAGUGUGGGUAUCGAACAGGAUUAGAUACCCUAGUAGUC
rnacentral:rRNA from 1 species